rnacentral:rRNA from 1 species
GACAGAGGGUGCAAACGUUGUUCGGAAUUACUGGGCGUAAAGUGCAUGUAGGCGGCCAAGCAGGUCGGAUGUGAAAUCCCUCGGCCCAACCAAGGAAGUGCAUUCGAAACCGCAUGGCUCGAGUCCCGGAGAGGAAGGUGGAAUUCUCGGUGUAGAGGUGAAAUUCGUAGAUAUCGAGAGGAACACCGGUGGCGAAAGCGGCCUUCUGGACGAGGACUGACGCUGAGAUGCGAAAGCGUGGGGAGCAAACAGG